AGGGAAUAGAUACCCUGGUAGUCCUAGCUGUAAACGGUGCGCAUUUGCUGUAAACGGAAUCGACCCCGUUUGUGGCGAAAGCUAAACGCGAUAAAUGCGCCGCCUGGGAAGUACGGUCGCAAGAUUAAAACUCAAAGAAAUUGACGGGGGCCGUGCACAAGCGGUGGAGUAUGUGGCUUAAUUCGAUGCAACGCGAAGAACCUUACCUGGCCUUGACAUGCAUGUGGUAGAACCAUGAAAGUGGGACGACCCGCAAGGGGGCGAUGCACAGGUGCUGCAUGGCUGUCGUCAGCUCGUGUCGUGAGAUGUUGGGUUUAAGUCCCGCAACGAGCGCAACCCUUCGUGUCCUGUUGCCACUCCUACGAGAGUAGGAAGCACUCUGGACAGACUGCCUCGCUUAAACGAGGAGGAAGGU
rnacentral:rRNA from 1 species